rnacentral:lncRNA from 1 species
CAAACAAAUAACUUAAAAGUACCCGCAGCUGCCUUUUAGUUAUAACUUAUCGACUUAUCAAGUGAUUAAUUAUUUAUUUAGUAACUGUACUCAUAAACAAACUACUAAACGUCUACGAGUAUAAACAGAAACUUUAAAGAGGCAGGCAGAGAGGCCCAUUAUAUAGCAAAUAUUUAAGGAUACUGAAUAAAAUAUUGACACUGAAGUCAACUGACAGAGAUUCUGAAUGGACUGCACUCAUACCGGAGAACUACGGCCGACAACACAUGAUUUUGAAACAAAAAUAUUUGCAACAUCACGAUUCCCAUCUAAGAUGCUCAAGAAAUACCUGAGGUAUGUGAAAUAAUGAAUUUUUUAUGAAUGAAGUGAUAACUUCCACUCAGUGUAAUUUCAUCAAAAUGCUGACGAAUGUGGCAAAACAAUGCUAACAAUCAUAUUACUUGAUAUGAACUAUUUCAAAAUAAGCGCCAUACACCGAUCCGGUACGUGCCAAACAGCACUCUUUGGUGAUUGCCAUUGAAAUUUAUUGUUUGAACACAGUGUGAACAAAAUUGAUCACGAAACACACAAGAAUUUAAUCUAAAAUGGAGUAAGAAAUAGCAAAGUGGGGAAAACAAAUCAACGAAUAGUAUUGGUAAGUGACGCAAAAGCGGUAAUAAAGCAUUGCAUACAGCAAAUUGGCAAGUGGAAAAGAGGAAAAGUGUCAAAACAAAUAAAAAAUUGUUGAAACACACACACACAGUUACAAAGACAUACGUGUAGCGGAGCAUUAGAGCGCAGUAAGAGCUCGCGAAUAUAUAUAGAAACGGCGAACACGGUGAUAAUUCAUUUUUAUUAGAGUCAACAUGGCAGAAACAACGACAGCAAACAACACGAACAACAAUGCAACAUGUCGUGAAAUAAGGAAGGUAAAACCGCAAAAGUGUAGUCGCCGCGCUGACAACAACAGCGCGCCAUAAAGCAACGAUAAAUGAUGACACAAGGAAAGUUGUAGUGCAAGAGGAAGCCAACAAUGUCAAUGUUGUCAGCGGUGACUACCUGCUGCUGUUGUUGGCAUUGUUGUCGGCGUGCAAAUAGCAGUGACAUGACCUCCAGGCGAUUGCAAGUGUUAGGAAAGUGUCGCAGGAAGUUGAGCAACUCAUCAUGCAUGUAUUGUUGCCUUGCACUUGAAGAUUUGAUGUGCCCUCUGCGCAUGUCGAAAUCGCGAAUAUCGACAGGCGAACCGACACAAUGUGAAUAACGACAUUUAUGUUAUUGUGCAUUGGACAAGCGGCGGUCAAUGAGGAAAUGUUUAAAAGGAGUGUGUUGUAACAGCGCAUCGGUGAACUUCAUUCAAUUUUGUGUGAUGAAAUCCCAUCAAGGAUCAAUGUUUUUCGACGGUAUGAUGAAUUCAAUCGAAGUCGUAAAUCAUUUCAAUGCGAAUUUCUUAAAGGGGCAUUCAAAAUCUGUUAUUCUUACGGAAACUAUGGAUGCUGCGCGCAAACUGGAUUUUGCAAGAUCCUCAUGUGACUUAUUGUGAGAUUUACACAACUAUAGACAUUAAAUGAUCCCGCACAAUUUGUCAAUUCAAAAAAAGGCUCGUGACGAUUGAACGACAGAAAUGGUAAAAAAAAAUACGAUAACGGUGCUUCGAGACACGUUUAUGAUAAUGUGACAGGCGAUCGAUAACUCGUGAAUUUAUACGUACAUAUGAGCCCGAAUGUAAACAACAGUCGAUUGUAUGUGUGUUCAAAAUAAGCCGAAUCCAAAAAGCUGUUCGCGCACAAAGUAUUCCCAAGCAAACGUUUGCCUGUUUUAUUAGAAAAACGUAACAUGUCGAAACCAAAUCACUAGAAAUAUAUAGAGCAGUAAAUUCCGAGCGGUACACAACCAUUUGCUUGCCAGUUGUCUUUCAACAAAUAACCGAAACCACCGACGACAGAUCACACUUUACCGCGAUUAUGCGAGUUCUCACGCGUCGCCUGAAUCAGCCGCUGUUUUGAACACUGAAAACAUCGAUUCAAUGAGUAAAGCACCGUAAAGGCCUGACUUGGCAUCGAACGUCUACUUUUCAUUCCCAAACGAGUAAGAUAAACUAAGAAUAAAUGUGCUGCGACAUCGGAAGAGGCGGUUAAUGCGUUUAGAACGCAUGGUAUCCACACCACGAUCAGAUCAGCAAAAGUGAUUCGAAAAUUGAUUCAAACACAUGCAGAAAUAUAUAGAUCUUAAUUGAGACUAUCUUACAAAAUAAUUAAGCGAUUAUUAAAUAUUAUUUAAUAAAAUAUUUUUUUUGUUCUCUAAUUCCGAAGUAUAAAAGGCAUGCUGCUGUACGUAUGUACAUGUAGUACUACAUGGACUGAAAAUUCUUUGAACAACAAUUAGAAUGACAAAUGAUUUUUUUGUAUUCAGAAAUCGCUUUGUUAUUCGCCAUAAUAUGUAGUCAC